rnacentral:rRNA from 1 species
AUGCACGCUGGCGGCGUGCUUCACACCUGCAAGUCGAACGGAAAGGCCAGUGCUUGCACUGGUGCUCGAGUGGCGAACGGGUGAGUAACACGUGGGUGAUCUGCCCUGCACUUUGGGAUAAGCCUGGGAAACUGGGUCUAAUACCAGAUAGGACCAUGCUUUGGAUGGUGUGGUGGAAAGUUUUUUCGGUGUGGGAUGAGCUUGCGGCCUAUCAGCUUGUUGGUGGGGUAAUGGCCUACCAAGGCGUCGACGGGUAGCCGGCCUGAGAGGGUGUACGGCCACAUUGGGACUGAGCUACGGCCCAGACUCCUACGGGAGGCAGCAGUGGGGAAUAUUGCACAAUGGGCGCAAGCCUGAUGCAGCGACGCCGCGUGGGGGAUGACGGCCUUCGGGUUGUAAGCUCCUUUCGCAACUGACGAAGCUUUUUGUGACGGUAGGUUGAGAAGAAGCACCGGCUAACUACGUG